rnacentral:rRNA from 1 species
UACGUAGGUGGCAAGCGUUGUCCGGAUUUACUGGGCGUAAAGAGCGCGCAGGCGGUCGUUCAAGUCGCGUGUGAAAGCCCCCGGCUCAACUGGGGAGGGUCACGCGAUACUGAUCGACUCGAAGGCAGGAGAGGGUAGUGGAAUUCCCGGUGUAGUGGUGAAAUGUAUUGAGAUCGGAAAGAACACCAACGGCGAAAGCACUCUGCUGGGCCGACACUGACACUGAGAGACGAAAGCUAGGGGAGCAAAUGGG